UGGUCAGACACUAGCACAGGAGGAGGGGGAUGGUCAGACACUAUUACAGGAGGAGGGGAGGGGGGGUGGUCAGACACUAGCACAGGAGGAGGGUGGUGGUCAGACACUAGCACAGGAGGGGGGUGGUCAGACACUAGCACAGGAGGAGGGUGGUGGUCAGACACUAGCACAGGAGGAGGGGGGUGGUCAGACACUAGCACAGGAGGAGGGGGGUGGUCAGACACUAGCACAGGAGGAGGGUAGUGGUCACACACUAGCACAGGAGGGUAUGGUCACACACUAGCAGAGGAGGAGGGGGAUGGUCAGACACUAGCACAGGAGGAGGGGGAUGGUCAGACACUAGCACAGGAGGAGGGUAUGGUCACACACUAGCAGAGGAGGAGGGGGAUGGUCAGACACUAGCACAGGAGGAGGGUAGUGGUCACACACUAGCACAGGAG
rnacentral:lncRNA from 1 species